rnacentral:tRNA from 1 species
GGCCUCGUAGCUCAGCUGGUAGAGCACUCGCGGUACUGAAUCGAAGGUGGUAACCAUGUAUGGGUUCGUAUCCUGCCGGGGCCA